rnacentral:ncRNA from 1 species
GAUAGCUGGUAAAGAUAGAGGUGUGAGCAACCUUUCUAGAGCCAGUGUGUAGAAAUGAACUUUCUGCAAUAAAUCUUCAAAUUGACGGGGAAGCCCUAAAGCAAUCUAAACCAAGUAAGUAUGGUAACAUAACUUAUGGCACAGGUAAUGACUCGUGGUAUGGUAAAAUAUAGAUUGAUCUACGAUAGUAAGUAGAAUGGGUAAUCCGCAGCCAAGCACCUAAUACUUUCAGUAUGGUGUGCAGUUCAUCGACUAAAUGGAGAUUGGCGCAAGCCUAAGAUAUAGUCAAACCUUACCCGAAAGGGUACA